UCAUCACCAAAAUCAAUUCUACAAGUAGUAAAUGAAUUUCCAAAGUUCUUUUUCUCUUGAUCUUCAUCUCUUUUAUAUACCAUCAUCUCCUCUUAAAAGAUGUACCUGGCUCUAGAUAACAUAUCUUCUAUCAAGUUUCCUAUACUAGUAAUAUAUAUUAAAACAAGAUUCAAUGUUCUUACGUUGACUAUCCAUCUUAGCAUAGCAAUAUUUAGAGUAGUACAAUUAAUUAUCAUUUUAAGUAAUGGCAAAGAAUUUGUUUCCAAAACCAUACUUGCUCCAAUCAAAUAAUUUUUCUUAGCCUUUAGUUCGGUCAGUACUCCUCAAAGCUCUCUUUUAAUUUGUAGAUAAGUCCUUUGACUCUUU
rnacentral:lncRNA from 1 species